rnacentral:rRNA from 1 species
UACAGGGGGGGGCAAGCGUUGUUCGGAAUUACUGGGCGUAAAGGGCUCGUAGGCGGCCAACUAAGUCCGACGUGAAAUCCCAAGGCUUAACUUUGGAACUGCGUCGGAUACUGGAUGGCUUGAAUUCGGGAGAGGGAUGCAGAAUUCCAGGUGUAGCGGUGAAAUGCGUAGAUAUCUGGAGGAAUACCGGUGGCGAAGGCGGCAUCCUGGACCGACAUUGACGCUGAUGAGCGAAAGCCAGGGGAGCAAACGGG